AGCUCCGGUAGCGUAUAUUAAAGUUGUUGCGGUUAAAACGCUCGUAGUUGGAUUUCUUUUGGGGACGACCGAUCCGCCCCUCGGGUGAGUAUCUGGUUCGGCCUUGGAAUCUUCUGGAAGAGACUUGUGCACUUCAUUGUGUGUGGGUGGAUUCUGGGCUUUUACUUUGAGGAAAUUAGAGUGUUUCAAGCAGGCUUACGCCUUGAAUACAUUAGCAUGGAAUAAUAAGAUAGGACCUUAGUUUUAUUUUGUUGGUUUCUAGAACUUUGGUAAUGAUUAAUAGGGAUAGUUGGGGGCAUUCGUAUUUAACUGUCAGAGGUGAAAUUCUUGGAUUUGUUAAAGACGAACUACUGCGAAAGCAUUUGCCAAGGAUGUUUCAUUGAUCAAG
rnacentral:rRNA from 1 species